rnacentral:rRNA from 1 species
UACGUAGGGUGCGAGCGUUAAUCGGAAUUACUGGGCGUAAAGCGUGCGCAGGCGGUCUGUUAAGACCGAUGUGAAAUCCCCGGGCUUAACCUGGGAACUGCAUUGGUGACUGGCAGGCUUUGAGUGUGGCAGAGGGAGGUAGAAUUCCACGUGUAGCAGUGAAAUGCGUAGAGAUGUGGAGGAAUACCGAUGGCGAAGGCAGCCCCCUGGGUCAAGACUGACGCUCAUGCACGAAAGCGUGGGGAGCAAACAGG